GCUGACUGAUCACGAUAUCUAGAAUGGAAGCCUUUAACCCCAUAGUGAAAAGUUGACACUUCUUGAUUUCAUCCUCCACCAGUGGAAGACAAUACUUAGACAACUCAUUGAGCUUUUUCUCGUACUCUAAUACUGUCAUUAUCCCCUGUUCCAGCUAUAAAAACUCUUCCAUCUUCACAUUCUGGUAGGCUUGUGGAUAG
rnacentral:lncRNA from 1 species